AAUCAGAGCCCCCAGCAAAGCAGAGACUAGAAUGCAAGGUCUCCUGGUCACUUUUUCACAGUUUAUUUGCACCUAUGUGUUUGUAUAAAUCAGGGAAAAGACCUAUGUAAGGGAGAGAGGAGGUUGUCUUAUUCUUGAGCCUGUGUGACUUUCACAACCAGUUUGUGGCUGUGUGCAACUUUUCAGAUACUCAGACUCAGUAGGUAGGGCUUAGUUCUCCCUUUUGGUAAGCAGAAUUCAUGUCCAAGCCUGAGGAUAUCUACACUCCUAGGCAUAGCCUAAUCUGGGAGCAUUUAUUGAUACAUAAUGCUAGAUCUCACAAGCAAUCUGAAGUGACAUAGGGACCUUACUGACUGCUGAGCCUAUUUGGCAUAAUCUGUCCUCUGCAGUGGGAAGAAUAAGCAGCAGGUAACCAUAUUAUUUCUAAUGCCAGAAGAAAGUGGCCUGUAUCCCAGGUAAAUUUUUAACAGAAGGUGGAAAACUAAUCUGUCAUAAAGAAUUCAUUCUUUCCCAUUCAGGCUAUGAGGAAAGUUACACUGAUCAAGAUGCAAAGAUUGCCAGAAGAAACAAUAAAAGAUUGGAACAAUUGUGAAUUGUGCAAAGACAUAGGUUUCUCAGUCAUAGGUUUUGGGAAUGGUUUGCUGCCUAAAGUUUCAAAAGCCUACAAAGCAGAGGAAGGAGAUGCUUAUGAAAUCAGCAGGAAAUUUUAUCUGGUAAGAAAAACAAGAGUGUGCUAUGGUCACAUGCUUCUUUUCCAGCAAGAAGUGCUUAGAGGGGCACAGCAACCCAUAUUUUCUACUCAUUGACUCACAGAAGUGAGUCUGUACAAGCCUUGCUGGCUGCCAAUUUUCAAAUACUGUUUCAGUGAAAAUCACUUUUGAAAUAAAAGGGAAUUAAAUUAAUUGCCAGUUCUUGAAGCAUUUAUUAAUAAAAGACUGGAAGAACUCCAGACAAUGGAGGCGAUGAGGCCUUGUUGUCCUCACUAAGAGGAAGUUAUGGAGGCAGUACUUGCAUACUUGUGCAUAUAUGGAUCUAUCUUACCUCAAGGUGACUAUGGCUAUGUCUGUAUUAGUGAGUAGCACUGUGCAAUAGGAAUUGAUUUGUGGAGCUAAACAGUGCUAAAGGCCCAGUGUCUACACUAUAUGCUUUUUCAAGGUGGUUAAUUUGGACUGGUUCUAGCCAGGUCCCAUGGACUGACUGCCCUUUAGCAGCUGGAGCACCAAAGCUGAACUGAUCAGCAUAUUUUUUUCUGGUUUCUGUCCAAUUUUAUGUUAUUCUUUUCAUAAGGAGGGUUAAAAAAAAAACGGUGGGAGGAUACUGAAAGAUAAGAUGCCUGAGGAGAAAAACUGAAGUAUGAGAAUGGGUGUGCUUCAGAGCAGAAAGGAGGAAGCAUGGUGAGAGGAAGAGAACAGGACUACUGAAAGGCCAUCCACAGGGAAAGUGGCCACCCAAGAUUAGAGGUAGUUUGCGGCUCACAUACGAUUAAAUACAGACAACAGAAAUUGGAACAAAUUGGUGCUAUAGUGAGUAUAGCUCUUCAUUUGUGGAAAUGCUGGACUAGAAUAGCUUUAAUAGACUUCUCUGUUAGCUUUACCUUCAACUGCUGAGAAAUUUGUGGCAUACCAACUUUACCUUAAUCAUGAGUCUGAUUUAAAACCCCAAAUGGCCAUAACAAAAGAAGGAGAGGAAAUAGUGGGUGUAUGCAUGUGGUUCCUUAUGUGUGUGUAGUUGAUUGUGUCCUGUGGCUUUGCAGAGAGCUAAAGCAUGAUCCAGUGGAUAAAACAGAUCAGUAAAAGCUUAAGGCUUUUCCAGGCAGCUGUAACUGUUUUUUAAAGGUGGCCACUCACAGUGUAGAAACCUUCAGAGCUUCCACUCCACAGACAGAGGGAGAAUGUUAAUACCCAGGACUAUUAACUUGAGUUUCAGAUUUAACAUCAGUUAGUUCCUUUAACCUCUGGCCAGUGUGGACCGGUCGUCUGCUGUAGAUGGUGCUGGGAGAUCCAAGUUUUAACAGAAAUACCUGGGCUGUGAAGCUGUGCUGGCCAGGCAAUGUACCAAGGCUGUGUUAGAGAAACAAACUCUUCGGGUUGGCUUUUUUUUUUCAGUUCAUUGUAGUUCCUCCUUUCCUGAGGAGGGGUGGCUGGGGACACCUGAUAAGAAGCACACUGAAAGCUUCUAGUGCUAUGGAGAUGGUGUUCAAAACUUUAUGGACUUCUCACUACUGGUAUUAGAAACCAGCUGGGUCAAGUGGCACAGACCAGACCACUCUUGUUUCCUGAAGGCAUUUUCAUUUGAAGAAAUCAUCAGUGCAACUUUACACUCAUUGAGUAAUUCAAGCAAUGAAAAGUUUAUUAUUUGUGUAGCUAUCUUCAUUAACAAUGUAUUCCAGUUAUUUCCUUCUUAGAGAGUGAAAGGGACUUUGACAGACUGUGACAAACACUUACUAGGUCACCCCAGGAACAUGUUUCUGCAGUUGUCUGGAAUCUUUGAAAAUCUGAGUCAUGUCAUUUCCCAA